GCCUACAGCCAUACCAGUUUGAAAGUGCCUGAUCUCGUCAGAUCUCAGAAGCCAACCUAGACUCCGGCCUGAUUAGCACUUGUACGGGAGACAAACUAGGAACCUCAGGUGCCGUAAGCU